rnacentral:lncRNA from 1 species
AUGAAACGUUUGUUCCAGUGGGCGUUCUUCAACGAGGACGUGUCACUGUCAUGCAGUUCCCCCGGUCGAAGCCGCCUCGUACUUCGGCGGUCACGCAAGCGGAAGACCCGGAUUCUCCUCACUGCCAAAUUAAUAUUCCCUAUUGAAACGCCGCGGGAAAACCGCACAAAGGAUUUCAGAGCCGUGACGUUCCGAAAACUGACGACAGCCAGUCACGCAGAAGGAGCAGCAGAAGGAGCACGUGUGGGGCAUUAACACAAUUUCUCAGAGAAAACGCAAGUUUCUACAGACUGGUUUGUGCACAGUUUGUCUUCAGCAAGACUUCACAAACAAGACUUAAGAUUCACAGAGGAACAAGCUAACUGAGCCAAACUGUACUGUCUUUGCUCCGUUGGUUGAAAUUGCACUAGUACAAGUACAUACCCUUUCACGUGCAGAGAUAUUUUGACAAAAGAUCUUCAGCUGACCUUAGUCUCCUCUAACCUCUGCUCCGCCACGUGAAGAAGAGUUCAGGAAAUUCAGUAGACAAUAGAAGGAGGUUUUGUUAGUUAUAGCGAUAAACUCGUAUAAAUGCACACCUUGCCCUCUACACAAAGAAUUAACAAUAACAAAUAAGAGCUAUUCUCGAGGCAGGGUGUUAAAGAACAUUCGAAGACAAGAAAAAGAGAUCUGUUAAAGUGCAUUUACCUAUAGGUAUUCAUAUUAUGACCAUUACUAAUUUCAGUCAGCAGCACAAAUAGGACAACUCCUAUUUUCAAAGAGGGCAACACUCGGCAAUAUACAGAGAAGCACAUGCAAAGAUAAUACAUUUGCUUUUUAAGUCCUAAGUAACAAGGUUGUUAUAAUACUUAGUCUGUAGAAAAGAGGGAGGACAGGAGACUGCUAACGCAGUUUCUGCUGUAAAGCAUCCAGACGAUGUCCCUUUAUUGCAGGCAGCUUCUCGAGAUCUGUUUGCAUCCGUUUCUGCUAGAGAGUGAAAAACGUGUGUUUAAAUGCAUUAGAAAGAGGCAGACAACAUCCUCUGGUGCUUCUGUAGCACACGCAGUAAAUCAAUCCACUUUUUUCCUCGCAUAGCACACUAAAUAUUAAAAAGUUAUCCAAAUAAAGAUUCAAGCUCUGACUCCGCA